UUCCGGUUGAUCCUGCCGGACCUGACUGCUAUCGGAUUGAUACUAAGCCAUGCGAGUCAUUGUAGUAAUACAAGGCAGACGGCUCAGUAACGCGUAGUCAACCUACCCUAUGGACGAGGAUAAUCUCGGGAAACUGAGAAUAAUACUCGAUAGACCAUUAUGCCUGGAACGGUUUAUGGUUAAAAUGAUUCGUCGCCAUAGGAUGGGACUGCGGCCUAUCAGCUUGUUGGUGAGGUAAUGGCCCACCAAGGCGAUUACAGGUACGGGCUCUGAGAGGAGAAGCCCGGAGAUGGGUACUGAGACAAGGACCCAGGCCCUAUGGGGCGCAGCAGGCGAGAAAACUUUGCAAUGUGCGAAAGCACGACAAGGUUAGUCCGAGUGAUUUCUGCUAAAGAAAUCUUUUGCAAGUUAUAAAACCACUAGUGAAUAAGGGGUGGGCAAGUUCUGGUGUCAGCCGCCGCGGUAGAACCAGCACCUCAAGUGGUCAGGAUGAUUAUUGGGCCUAAAGCAUCCGUAGCCUGCUCUGUUAGUUUUCGGUUAAAUCCAUGUGCUCAACACAUGGGCUGCCGAAAAUACUGCAGGGCUAGGGAGUGGGAGAGGUAGACGGUACUCAGUAGGAAGGGGUAAAAUCCUUUGAUCUAUUGAUGACCACCUGUGGCGAAGGCGGUCUACCAGAACACGUUCGACGGUGAGGGAUGAAAGCUGGGGGAGCAAACCGGAUUAGAUACCCGGGUAGUCCCAGCUGUAAGCGAUGCAGACUCGAUGAUGCAUUGGCUUAUUGAAAAUGCAGUGUCGCAGGGAAGCCGUUAAGUCUGCCGCCUGGGAAGUACGUACGCAAG
rnacentral:rRNA from 1 species